UACUCUCACACUCUCUAAUUAGUUAGAGAGUGGUGGAUUUGGAUGUUGCCUGGUACUUACUGUCAGGCUCAUCUUAAAUAAAUUAGUGCGACUCUUAGUUAAACAUAGUACGGCGUCAUAAGUAACCCUCGCUGUUUUCUGUCUGAUUAGGAGCUCUGUGCUUCAAACCGUCUCAGGACAAUAUUUGAUA
rnacentral:misc_RNA from 1 species